GUGAAUCAUCAAAUUUUUGAACGCAAAUUGCACUCUCCUCGGAGAGUAUGCCUGUUUGAGUGUCAGCCUAUAAAAAAUCGACAUCGUUGCUGUUUCGCGGUGGCGUUCGUCGGAAACGGGGGCAUCUUAAAUCUUUUGUGUUUAAGCUACUUAAAAUUUUCUUUUUUGUUCCAUGAACGUUUCUUAGAUUUAUUUGUUUACACGUUUAAGGUAUCGGUUUUUAUUAGACAGUACCAU
rnacentral:misc_RNA from 1 species